AGGGGGCAAGCGGGAUCCGGAGUUACUGGGGGUAAAGGGAGCGGAGACGGCAGGGCAAGUCGGAAGUGAAAACCAGGGGCUCAACCACGGGACUGCUUUGGAAACUGUGCAGCUGGAGUGUCGGAGAGGCAAGCGGAAUUACUAGUGUAGCGGUGAAAUGCGUAGAUAUUAGGAGGAACACCAGUGGCGAAGGCGGCUUGCUGGACGAUGACUGACGUUGAGGCUCGAAAGCGUGGGGAGCAAA
rnacentral:rRNA from 1 species